rnacentral:rRNA from 1 species
CAGCCGCCGCGGUAAUACCGGCGGCCCGAGUGGCGGUCACUAUUAUUGGGCUUAAAGCGUCCGUAGCCGGGGUGGGAAGGCCUCCGGGAAAUCUGGCCGCUUAACGGUCAGAAUGCCGGAGGAUACUCCCAGCCUAGGGAGCGGGAGAGGCCGAGGGGAUUCCCGGAGGAGGGGGGAAAUCCUAUAAUCCCGGGAGGACCACCUGUGGCGAAGGCGCUCGGCUGGAACGCGUCCGACGGUGAGGGACGAAGGCCAGGGGAGCAAACCGGAUUAGAUACCCGGGUAGUCCUGGCUGUAAACGAUGCGGACUUUGUGUCGGACAAGCUAUGAGCUUGUCCGGUGCCGGAGGGAAACCGUUAAGUCCGCCGCCUGGGGAGUACGGCCGCAAGGCUGAAACUUAAAGGAAUUGGCGGG